AAAAAAAUACGGCAGCAAACAGACCACGGGCGCUCGUCUCCUCUCCCUCUCGCCCACGAACUCCUCGCCGCCGCCGCCACCUGCACCGGCCGCUUCCGGCGACCUCCGACGCCGCGCAGCACGCCCCCCGAGCUCCUCACGGUCCGCGCCUCCCUCCCCUCCGACCAGAUUCUCCGCUCCAGUCCUCUACCGCCCGCUUGCAACCCCACCCCCGUGGCUAGGGUUCCGGGCAGGGCUUCGCCGGCUCGUCUCCGGCGGCCCCAGUUAUUUGGCUCAUCGUCGUAUCGCAAGUUUCUGACAUCGCUGUACACCGUUGACGUCGCCGGAAAUCCGUCUGCACGUACUCCACUGUCCGCCGGAACUUUGUCCGACCUGAGACCAAUGCUAUAUGGUUCCACUCUACCCUGGCUAGGCCCACGAGAGCCUGCAAGACGGCGGCAGCAGGGAUGGCCGGAUAGAGCCGCAUGGACUCAAUGACUCAGAGGAGGAUCAGAGGGGGUGGCCUGUACGUGGAGGAUGAUUCACACACAAGCUGGCACGCCCAACAAAUGCAUUAGUUUGGCUCUUGCACUAGAGAAUGACAGAUGGUGUAUACUGACAGAGGGGGAAGAAUUCUGCAGCAUACUGUGCAAGAUCUUUAUUUACACCAAGGAGGAGGUCCAGAAGAUGAAUUCGAAAUCAUCCUGUACCCAAGAAAGGAGGAAGUUCCAUGGAUGGUGAUUGUGCAAACAAGAAGGCACAUCUCACACAUCAUGCAAUUUAGAUAACUAACUAACUAGUAUUCAAUUCUUCUUUACCGGGUUGCUGUUCCCGUUCAGUAGCGGUUGCACCUUCUACAACAGUGAGCCCGAGCGGCAUCAGAUUCAGAUUGUCCCAUGAAGGUUUCGAGAUGGAGGCCUGUGAGGAGGAUUUCAGGGGAGAUCAUACUAUGACUAUGACAAGAGGCUGAGAUUUGACUUGCACUGUAUUGAAAAGCAGGUUCAGGAGCUCCAAGCCAAUAAACGCCAGAGCUUUGAAAAAGAUGUAAGAUUUCUACUUUCUAGCUUUUUUCACAAAAUUUGCUGUAGACUUUUAUUCUGUAUGGUAGUCGGGUUUGUUAUAGGAAUGAGCUAUAGACCUUUUGUUCAAUUUUGUUUGAGAUAGAAUACAAAUUAUGUGUGAUAUUCAAAGUUUAUAGAGCAUGACCACAGCAAAAAAAGGCGAUCAACAUAGGCAAUAUGUUUUCUGUUAACAAUUCAAUUUCUUUUUUUAAUUCAAUGCCUGAAAUUAUUCCAAUUUGCAGUGCAUACUUGCCGCUAAUUAAGAACUACAGAUAUAUGCUUUCACAUGCAGUCAUGGCUUUGCUAACAUGUAUGUGUCAGUUUAGAAAUACCUCAUAUUGUUUCGAUUCUUGGCUUCAGGGAAAAAGUGAUAGAUUGCAAAAAUAUUUAUCUGUAUAAGAGGAUAGAUGUAUAUUUAUUUAAGAGGAUAGAUGUUCGUACUUGCAGAACUACAGUUUGCAUUUCAGUCCAUCAUUCAUUGUUACUUGAGUAUUUCUCAUGUUUCGCUGAUCUCCCAGGAUUGUAGAAGCUUUUUGUGUGUUUUCUCACUGGAGCAGCUCUCUGCGCCUUAUGAAAGUAGUUUGGAAAUAUGAGUGAGAAGUGUUGUAUUGUUAUGUUUUUUGUUAAUUUCAGGGGAGAAGAGAACUCCAGUUUUGGCAAUGUUCGUGAUUCAGAUUCACCAUGAUUGAUACUGUACAAUGCCAUACAAUAUUUACGUAUUCCCAUCAUGAACUAUUUCA
rnacentral:rRNA from 1 species